GACCUCACAGGGCUCCUGGGCUGCCCCCCGCCGCCGCCGCCGCCGCCUGCCCGCACUCGGUGCCCCGCUGAGAGCCUCCCACCUGGGCGGCUGAGCCCCGGCCGGCCGUCUCCACCUCCGACACCCAUCUUGAGGUCAAGCAGAGGAUGUCGGUGUCUUUAUAGAUAUCAUCACGUGAAGAGGUCACACUGGAUCCAAGUGGGCCCCAAACCAAGCAACUAGUGUCUUUACAAGGAGAGGGAGGUUUGGAGACACAAACACAGAGAGAAAAACAAACACCAGCUGUUUCAAGCCAUCCAGUUUCUUGUGAUGCUUUGCAGCAGUGACUCUGGGAAACCAACAUACGACCCAGCGUGGAAGGCUCUGAACAACUAAAAGGACUUGGGGCGGUUUUGGCAAAUCUGACAAUUUCGUGAGAACGGCAAAACAACUCUCAACAGUAGAAUGUGGCCUCAACAGAAAAGAUGGCCUGCAAACCUCGCAAAGCCGGAAAAAGCAACGUGAAAUGCCGAGGUCUUGCCUCUGUUCAGAAGAGCAUACACACUGGCAUUUUGAAAAACCAAGCACAUAAAGAUUAAAAGCCCUAGUUCCAUAAGUUGAUACAAGUCCUAAAUGACACCAAAGAGUAUAUCCAAAAAGAAUGUUUUCAUAAGAAAAACAUAUUAAUAUUCACUUACGGUAUUCAAGAAUCUUAGUUUUUAAAGUUUUUUGUGAAUUGGGAAACUUGGUAAAUUCAGCAAAUUAGUAAUUCAGCAAACUGAUCUUUAGGACGACUGGCUUUCAGCAAGUUAGCCACUCAUAUUACCAGUUCUGGUGUUUGCAGAUCCGAAAAUGCCAGCCAAACCUGCCACGGCUGACGAAGUGUCUCGGGAAGGAGAGUGGCAUUUCUAUGAAAAUUCAGGUGACGGCUUUGAAAAGUCAACAGGAGACAUAAAAACUGCAAUCAAAGGGGAUGCAGGUGGGUUACUGUCAAAGAUUGUUGGGGAAAGAUGUAAAAACUUCAAAAGGAUUCUGCUGGCCGA
ensembl:lncRNA